rnacentral:lncRNA from 13 species
AUUUUCAUGAUGGAGCAGCCUAUUUCCAUCUGUUUCACUCCUGUAGGGAGGAUGGUGAUACAAUUAGGGGAUGUCUUUGUUUUGCAGCCAAAUAGUGAAGACUCUGGUUUUCCCUUUGAGAAGAUGCAGCUGGUUGGGAACUGGGGUUCAUUUAAUUUCCAUACCUGGAUAAUCCGUUAUGGACGAGUGCAGGUACUUCAGACAUAUUCUUAACAUUUAUGAACACACCUGUGUGUUGUACUAACAUCAUGUGGGCUCUAUAUUACUGCCAGUGAUGAUCACCUGCCAAAUGAUAUAGAAAUCUACAGCUAAAAUAUACAGAGAGGUGUGCAGACUGAAGCCGUUUUUCCUUAUAGCAAAACGAAGAGGACAUGCAUCACCUGUGCAUUGUGAGGGGAGUGGAGAAACAGCUGUGGUGGAGCAGAGUCAUUCAGGAAAAAAUCCUGGACCCAUGGGGUAAUGUCCAGGUGGUCCUCACCAACAAGGAGAUGACUGGUAUUAAGUACCUUGGUAGAAGGAUCUAUGGACUCGGGUCUUGCCUCGUCAAGAUGAGGUCAGAGUUCACCUAUUAUGAGGACGCCCAGCAGGUGGAUAUCUCCACCACAGUGGAGGGGUUCCAGGAGAGGGGGGAUGACAUGAUGACGUAUCAGUUCUCUACCUCUGACAUUAUCACCACCCCUCAUGAGCCGUCCUCUGGCUCCUCUCAGCAGUUCCCCCAGGAUUCUCCACCUCCCCCUCCGCCUCCCACGUUCCCUUCCCCUCCACCUUACCACUUCACCCAGGACCAGACCCCUGACAGCACUCCUCAGGUAAAACUCUUUCUACAGUCAAUAACCCUUUUUAUUUGUUUUCCUGACAUUUGUACUUGUGUGUACAGGUGUGUGUCUCAGUGGCAUUGUGUUCCAAGCACAGUGUUUUGGUUUCAACAGGUUUGUCAAGUUUUUAGGUCAGGAUGAAAGUAUUGUUAUGAUGUCACUGAAUGUUUUGUCCUCUUCAGUUGCAGGUGAAAUGCAGUUUAGUAUUUAUUUUAUUUACUUAUCUCUGUAAGUUAGUUAAGAACAUAUUCUUAACUGACUUACCUUGG